rnacentral:snoRNA from 1 species
UCAACACUUCUUAGAUCCACCUCUGGAGUCUUCGAGUGCUGCAGCCCAGAGGCUCUCAGCAGCUUUCUGGCUGUACAGUCGGAGGUGCUUUAGUCAUUGGCAUUGUAGAGCAGUCUACCUGCCUCCCCAGCCCUCCUUCUGCACUGGCAACUAUCAGUUAUACUGUUGGGAAUCACCCAGUGCAGCUUGGCUGGGAGGUGGACAAC